rnacentral:rRNA from 1 species
GAUUGAACGCUGGCGGAAUGCUUUACACAUGCAAGUCGAACGAUGAACCUUAGCUUGCUAAGGGGAUUAGUGGCGAACGGGUGAGUAAUAUAUCGGAACGUGCCUUGUAAUGGGGGAUAACUAGUCGAAAGAUUAGCUAAUACCGCAUACGCCCUGAGGGGGAAAGUAGGGGAUCUUCGGACCUUACGUUAUAAGAGCGGCCGAUAUCUGAUUAGCUAGUUGGUGGGGUAAUGGCCUACCAAGGCGACGACGGGUAGCCGGCCUGAGAGGGUGACCGGCCACACUGGGACUGAGACACGGCCCAGACUCCUACGGGAGGCAGCAGUGGGGAAUAUUGCACAAUGGGCGAAAGCCUGAUGCAGCGACGCCGCGUGAGGGAUGACGGCCUUCGGGUUGUAAACCUCUUUCAGUAGGGAAGAAGCGAAAGUGACGGUACCUGCAGAAGAAGCGCCGGCUAACUACGUGCCAGCAGCCGCGGUAAUACGUAGGGCGCAAGCGUUGUCCGGAAUUAUUGGGCGUAAAGAGCUCGUAGGCGGUUUGUCGCGUCUGCUGUGAAAUCGUGAGGCUCAACCUCACGCCUGCAGUGGGUACGGGCAGACUAGAGUGUGGUAGGGGAGACUGGAAUUCCUGGUGUAGCGGUGGAAUGCGCAGAUAUCAGGAGGAACACCGAUGGCGAAGGCAGGUCUCUGGGCCACUACUGACGCUGAGGAGCGAAAGCAUGGGUAGCGAACAGGAUUAGAUACCCUGGUAGUCCAUGCCGUAAACGUUGGGCACUAGGUGUGGGGUCAGUUCCACUGGUUCCGUGCCGCAGCAAACGCAUUAAGUGCCCCGCCUGGGGAGUACGGCCGCAAGGCUAAAACUCAAAGGAAUUGACGGGGGCCCGCACAAGCGGCGGAGCAUGCGGAUUAAUUCGAUGCAACGCGAAGAACCUUACCAAGGCUUGACAUAUAGAGGAACGCACUAGAGAUAGUGUUCUCUUUGGACACUUCUAUACAGGUGGUGCAUGGUUGUCGUCAGCUCGUGUCGUGAGAUGUUGGGUUAAGUCCCGCAACGAGCGCAACCCUUGCCCUAUGUUGCCAGCACGUGAUGGUGGGGACUCAUAGGAGACUGCCGGGGUCAACUCGGAGGAAGGUGGGGAUGAGGUCAAAUCAUCAUGCCCCUUAUGUCUUGGGCUUCACGCAUGCUACAAUGGCCGGUACAAAGGGCUGCGAUACCGUAAGGUGGAGCGAAUCCCAAAAAGCCGGUCUCAGUUCGGAUUGGGGUCUGCAACUCGACCCCAUGAAGUCGGAGUCGCUAGUAAUCGCAGAUCAGCAACGCUGCGGUGAAUACGUUCUCGGGCCUUGUACACACCGCC